CUUGACUUUAGCGGGAGCUGACAGGAUCGCCCAACUAUCACGCAUUUAUUGUUUACCAGUAACUUUAUUGGCGGUUGACUUGACCAACAACAGCCUAAAAAUGCGUUAGUUAGGCUGCACAUCCGUUUGUGCAAUGGAUGUGAGGAAAUGGGAAUAUCUCUUCUUGCGUCCCGCACCCGAGUCUCACUACUAAAACCCAUCAAACAGGAAUACUAGCCAUGGCUCCCCUAGCUCUGUUGCAUGAAUCCACCUGCUAACACUUUGCUUGUACCAUGACACCCAGCUACAUCCUUUGGACAACAAAGGGGUGUCUGGAGCAACAGAACUAAUAGAUGCCAUACUGAUGAUGCUAGAUUCUGUCUCUACUCCGGUUGUCUGACUUUUUGUCACGAAAUAGGUGAUAUGUCACAGAACAUGCCCACAGCUGGCAGCAAUCAAGUAAGAUGAUGCAAAUUGGUGGAAAAAAAGCACAGGGGAAAAUCGCAAUUGUGGACUCUUUGUGUCCCUACUGCUCUCUCUUGUCCUCCAAUGGAUCUUAAUGAGAAAAGAUGAUAAUGAAAAUAAUUAAGGAUACCCAGGCUGUUCUUUGCAAUUGUCUUUUAUUGAUGUGUUUAAUAACAGUCUCUUUGUGAUUUUGAAAAACUAGGUCCAUCGAGCUUGACUGGUUUUAUGCCUAGAACUAUGUUUCAUCUGUACCUGUGAAACUAGCCCUUUGUGUUCUCUGAACCUUUUUUGUGACCCUCUGUAAUGGUGUCAACAUCUUAGUAUGCAUAAUCUUUAUUUCCAAAAUCAACAAAAAUAAGAAUACUUCUAUUUUUGAUCCAGAAUCUUGAACAUUGUGCCAAUAGUACAUAAACAUUGGCUAUAACUGUAGGUUAAUUACAAUUAAUGGUAAUAAAAUAGAAACAUUUUCAAAAGGGUUUUAUUGUAAUGACAAAGUGUCUGUUGUUGCUGGUUGUCAUUAUUUAUGUCUUAAACUCUCCAAAUAGAGUUUUGAAGCCACUAAAAAGGGUGGUCUGGGGAAGUAACAAUGUACAGGAAUGUCAAGGAGCAGAGUCUGAAGGAAACAUAAG
ensembl:lncRNA